rnacentral:rRNA from 1 species
GACGAACGCUGGCGGCGUGCUUAACACAUGCAAGUCGUACGGUAAGGCCCUUUCGGGGGUACACGAGUGGCGAACGGGUGAGUAACACGUGAGUAACCUGCCCACAACUUUGGGAUAACGCUAGGAAACUGGUGCUAAUACUGGAUAUGUGCUCCUGCUGCAUGGUGGGGGUUGGAAAGCUCCGGCGGUUGUGGAUGGACUCGCGGCCUAUCAGCUUGUUGAUGGGGUAGUGGCCUACCAAGGCGGCGACGGGUAGCCGGCCUGAGAGGGUGACCGGCCACAUUGGGACUGAGAUACGGCCCAGACUCCUACGGGAGGCAGCAGUGGGGAAUAUUGCACAAUGGGCGCAAGCCUGAUGCAGCAACGCCGCGUGCGGGAUGACGGCCUUCGGGUUGUAAACCGCUUUCAGCAGGGACGAAGCUUUUUGUGACGGUACCUGCAGAAGAAGCACCGGCUAACUACGUG